ACGGCCAUACCAUGCUGAAUAUACCGGUUCUCGUUAAAUCACUGAAGUCAAGCAUCAUUGGUCGCGGUCAGUACUUGGGAGGUGUGUGGGGGGAAACCACCUGGAAACCACCUGGAAACACCACGUGCCG